UGGGGAAUCUUGGACAAUGGGGGCAACCCUGAUCCAGCCAUGCCGCGUGAGUGAUGAAGGCCUUAGGGUCGUAAAGCUCUUCGCCUGUGAAGAUAAUGACGGUAGCAGGUAAAGAAACCCCGGCUAACUCCGUGCCAGCAGCCGCGGUAAUACGGAGGGGGUUAGCGUUGUUCGGAAUUACUGGGCGUAAAGCGCACGUAGGCGGACCAGAAAGUUGGGGGUGAAAGCCCUGGGCUCAACCCAGGAAUUGCCUUUGAUACUGUUAGACUAGAGUUCGGGAGAGGGUAGUGGAAUUCCCAGUGUAGAGGUGAAAUUCGUAGAUAUUCGGAGGAACACCAGUGGCGAAGGCGGCUCACUGGCUCGAUACUGACGCUGAGGUGCGAAAGCGUGGGGAGCAAACAGGAUUAGAUA
rnacentral:rRNA from 1 species